GACGAACGCUGGCGGCGUGCUUAACACAUGCAAGUCGAGCGGUAAGGCCCUUUCGGGGGUACACGAGCGGCGAACGGGUGAGUAACACGUGGGUGACCUGCCCUCAGCUCUGGGAUAAGCCUGGGAAACCGGGUCUAAUACUGGAUAUGACUCCAUGACGCAUGUUGUGGGGUGAAAGCCUUGUGCGGCUGAGGAUGGGCCCGCGGCCUAUCAGCUUGUUGGUGGGGUGANGGCCUACCAAGGCGACGACGGGUAGCCGGCCUGAGAGGGCGACCGGCCACACUGGGACUGAGACACGGCCCAGACUCCUACGGGAGGCAGCAGUGGGGAAUCUUGCGCAAUGGGCGAAAGCCUGACGCAGCGACG
rnacentral:rRNA from 1 species